rnacentral:tRNA from 1 species
AGGGUGUCAAAACUGGCCAUUUCACCUCCUUUCCUCUCUGAUUUGACACUCCCUGACUUUUAAUCAGGGUGUCACAGGUUCGAGACCUGUACGGCCUACCA